UGGACACCGUUGCUAAGGAAUCCCGAGUACGCGCGAACGGGUCGGAGGCGCGCAGCUCGAGCGCUGCUCUCAGUGCUCAGACAUGGCGGCGGACCUGAACCCGGAGUGGCUGUCUUGCCUGCCUUCCUCAUGGAGUUACGGCGUGACCCGGGACGGACGCGUGUUCUUUAUCAAUGAAGAAGCGAAGAGCACAACCUGGCUGCAUCCAGUCACGGGAGAAGCCGUCAUUACAGGGCACAGAAAAACUCCAGAUUUACCCACCGGAUGGGAAGAAGGAUAUACGUUCGAAGGAGCCCGCUGCUUUAUCAAUCACAAUGAGCGAAAGGUGACCUGCAAGCAUCCCGUCACAGGCGUUCCUUCGCAAGACAACUGCAUCUUUGUCGUCAACGAACACCUGAAUUGUGGGAAACUUGUCCAUCCUGUUUUAAACAGACCAGCGACCAAAGCACCAGCGGCCGAGAAAAAAGAACGUCCAACCAGCACCAUGAGCGAAGCGUCGAACUACACAGGCGGCUCAGACUACACCACACAUCCCAGCAGUCCCACAACCAGACCAUCCAGGUCUUCAAAGAAAGUCCACAACUUUGGGAAGAGGUCCAACUCUAUCAAGAGGAACCCCAAUGCUCCGGUGGUGAAAAACGGAUGGCUUUACAAACAGGACAGUACCGGGAUGAAGAUGUGGAAGAAGAGAUGGUUCGUGCUGUGUGACAUGUGCCUCUUCUACUACAGAGAUGAGAAAGAAGAAGGAAUCUUGGGAAGUAUCCUCCUGCCCAGCUUCCACAUCUCCAUGCUGUCCGUGGACGACCACAUAAGCAGGAAAUAUGCCUUCAAGGCGACGCAUCCAAACAUGCGCACGUAUUAUUUCAGCACUGACACAGCCAAAGAUAUGGAGUCCUGGAUGAAGGUUAUGACGGACGCGGCAAUGGUCCACACCGAGCCAAUCAGAAGGCUUGAGAAGGUAAAGGUUGACCCACGCAGCCCUCAGGAGAUGAACAACAUGCUGAAUCACCGAGUCCUGACCCGACCUGAGAUCCAAAACAACGAGAGAAACCGCGAGACGCACCGGCAGGAGGAGAAAAAGCAUAAACCCGUGGACAAGCAGCCCUGCAUCCAAAAAGACAAAGAGAGCAGGGGUAGCGUGCAGAAAGAUGGAGAGCGAUACACCCUCCAGAGAGACACCGACAACUACGCUCUGCACAAAGAAGCUCAGAGACUCGCUCUGCAGAAGGACGGCGACCGCUACAUGCUGCAGAAGGACGUGGAGAAAUAUGUCCUUCAGAAAGACGGUGAGAAAUACUCCGUUCACAAAGAAGGAGAGAAGUACCUACUGCAGAAGGACGGGCUGAAGUACACGGUACACAAGGACGGAGAUAAGUACACGCUUCAGAGAGAGGGCGAAAAAUACGCACCGCCAAAUGACGGCGAGAAGAUCCCACAGAAAGAUGCAAGGUAUCCUCUCACGCUCCAGAGGGAAGGAGAUAAGCAUAUGCAGCAGAAAGACCCGGAGAAACCCGUCCCACCCCCACGGGAGGGCGAGAAAUACGGCUUCCAGAAAGAGGGUGCUGUGGAGCGGCCGCUCACCAAGAUCAACAGCAUCAAACUCCAGCCGGCUCAAGCGGCGGCCAUCGCUGCGGCCGUCUCGUCCUCCAGACAGCUCCAGAGCGCAGCGGGAUCCGCCCAGUACAAGCCGUCCCAGGUCAAUGGUUCUGGAGAACGAGGAGGAGACAGAAGCCCCGGAGACAUGAGCAACACGAUGCCCCAGAGGACGACGGUCCCGCCACAGCCGGCAGAACCCGAGAGAACCCUGAGCAGAACCAACUCCAUGCAGCAGCUGGAGCAGUGGGUCCGUACGUACCGCACACGGACCCCGGACGAUGACACCAGGAGCAUUACGUCCUACCAAACGUUGCCCAGGAAUAUGCCGAGCCACCGGGCGCAGAUCGUGCCGCGCUAUCCCGAGGGCUACCGCACGCUCCCGCGCAACAUGCUGCGGCCGGACAGCAUCUGCAGCGUCGCAGGGUCGAUGUACGACCGGGCGCUGCAGCCCACCACGGCGGAGAAGCGCCGCUCCAUACGGGACGACACCAUGUGGCAGCUGUACGAGUGGCAGCAGAGGCAGGCUCACAGCCGGCUCGGAUACGGGACACUGCCCAGCCCAAAAACCAUGGGGCAGAUCGCCGAGUCCAUCCCCACGUCCCCUUCCCAUGGAUCACUGGCCGGUUACCACACCUUCUCCCCUAAUCGGCCCCUAAACCCAGAUUCCCGCUCUGAAGUUUCCUCGCCGGUGUUUCGUGGGGACGUGACUAUUGAACGUCGCCACCGACCGCACCUCUCUAAGUAUUCCUACCCUGCCGAGCGCAGGCCUGUUCCUCCCGCACAGAGCAUCACUGCACAGUCUCUGCAAGGCAAAACGCCAGAGGAACUGACCCUGCUGCUCAUCAAGCUGCGGCGGCAGCAGGCGGAGCUCAACAGCCUCCGUGAGCACACGCUCGCGCAGCUAAUGCAGCUAAACCUCGAUGCCGCCAACCCAAAGAGUGAAAUCCUUUCCCAUCACCUACAGAGGAAUCUCAUGUACUUGGACAGCCAGAUGAAGGAGAAUGAGCCAAUAAUCUUCAUGAUUCACACUAUGAUUGAGAACUCGGCGCCAAGGCCGCAACUGUACCAGCAACAGAUGAGUCCUGAAGAGUACAGAGAAAACACCUACUUGUACAAACCGGAGGAGCUGGACAUUGAUGCGAAGUUAAGUCGACUUUGUGAGCAGGAUAAAGUCGUGAGAACCCAAGAAGAAAAACUGCAGCAACUCCACAGAGAAAAGCACACGCUGGAGACGGCGUUACUGUCAGCCAGUCAGGAGAUCGAGAUGAACUCUGAAAAUCCAGCGGCGGUCCAGAGCGUCGUCCAGCAGAGAGACGUUCUCCAGAGCGGCCUGCUCAGCACCUGCAGAGAGCUGUCGCGUGUCAACACCGAACUGGAGCGGAGCUGGAGAGAGUAUGAUCGACUGGAGGCAGACGUCACACUGGCUAAAACGAACCUGCUGGAGCAGCUCGAGGCCCUCGGGAGCCCACAGACGGAGCCGCCCAGCCAAAAACACGUUCAGAUCCAGAAGGAGUUAUGGAGAAUUCAGGAUGUGAUGGAGGCUCUGAGCAAGAACAAACCCAAGAGAAACGCAGAACCCAGUUUUCCUGGUGCAAACCCGCUGUCAAACCUGCAUAAAAGUGAAGAGUCAGACUCCGUGCCUCCGCGUCCUCCUCUCCCGUACUCAUAUGAGGGGGGAGACCGGCCACCGUUGCCUCCGCUGCCCUCCCCCGGCUCUGGCCCGCCUCACGCGCCCCGUACCACCCCUCACCGGCCCGAGGACCGCAAGGCCGCCCAGCGCAACGGUGCCCACAGCGGCCCGGAUUACAGACUGUAUAAGAGUGAGCCGGAGCUUACCACGGUAGCCGAGGUUGACGAGAGCAAUGGCGAAGACAAAUCUGAGCAGACUGCAGAGAAAGAGCCGUCUGGCGUCACCAAAGGUAUAGUUUACCCUGUCGGAGUGGUCAGCCCGAGGACUAAAUCACCCAUGCCUGAAUCUUCCACCAUCGCCUCUUAUGUAACCUUGAGGAAGAGCAAGAAACCUGACCCCAGAACAUCCCACCCACAGGACCGUCCACGCAGCGCGGUGGAGCACAUGACCAGUGCCAUAGAGGUGGGCCGAACACGCAUGAGUGUCGAGGAGCAAAUGGAGCGAAUCAGGCGGCACCAGCAGGGGGCGCUGCGUGAACGAAGAAGAGAGGACGGUUCGCUGUCACGCAGUCUCUCCUUCACUAAAGACAACCAGUACUACACCCUACAGACGCGUAAGAAAAGCCCGGUGAUCUCUCCAGAUGAGCAGGACGAGCGCAGAGACGUGUCGCCUGAGGAACGGGAGCUGAAGGCAAAGUCCGCUGAUGCGGAAGAGAACUGCAGGGAAACUGAUGAUAUGGAAUCUGGAAAUGCCAACAUAGAGAACAAGGAGAAACCGGCUGUAUCCCGAUCAGCCUCCAUGAAAGAGUCUCUUCUGAAGAGCGUGAGUCCUAAACCGACGCUGAAGGAGGACGUGUCGGAGCCUAAGCGUCUGAGUCCGCUGGAGUACCGCAGGAGUCUGGCCACGCAGAACAGCUUGCAGACGGCGGUCAUGGUACGCGUGGGCACAGAGGAAGACGACGAGGAGGAUGAGGAGGAUGAGAAGCCUUCCAGUCAAGAGCAGGACGUGUCUUAUGAGCUGACCAAUAGCAAACAUGGCACACUGAUGUCAGUGAACAGUCUGUCGACUCCGCCCCAAUCUCCAAGCUCCUCCUCCUCUCCCCCGCCUCCGCCCUCCCCCCCACAGCUGACGGACGGAUCUCACUUCAUGUGUGUGUGAGAGGAGAGAUGGACGAGUAAGAGACACACACACACAACAGCGGUCCGACUCACUCACAGAACGGACACUUGCGUCUGCCUUAUACAGUCUUGUCCCCUCCACCAUCAUCAGUGAACCGCAGCAUGUGAGGGGACGUCCCACCGCGAGCCAAACACAUCAUCCUCAGACAGCAUCAGCUGACCGACACGUACACAGCGACGUCCAGGCCUUAGUUCAACCCAUGGACAAAUGAUUCAUUUAUAGUGAUGAUUAUUUAUAUCCCCACUCUUCUCUUAUGUUUUUUUCUGAUGCAUCUGUAGAUCCCAGAGUUUUAUUCUGUUUGAUCGAGUGUAAUGUGUGGGCAGACGCGUCUGAGGUGCUAUUGAACCACCACUGAUGUACAUUACAGCACCCAGACUCACUAUGAACAGGAAGUAGAGCCCAUAAACACACACGUUCUUCAAGCUGCACAGAUUCGCGUUCAUCGUUUGCUUGUUUUUAUAUGGAUUUUAAUCAAUCGCUCCCGGUUUUACCUAGUGUUCUCGACGCGAUUUUAGUACUCAUAUCUUUUGCACUGUACGACACCCAUCGUUUCUUUUUUGAUAUCAGAUGAUUUGUGUAUAAAUAAACAAUGUACAACUAUAAACUUUCAAUAAAGGUGCCACCGUACUGCUGCCGAUCGACAGGAUUUGUAAAUGAUCUGUAUGUUGGAUAGUUCGCAAUAGCCACCACACUGUUUCCCGACACACUCAUGAAUGUUCCAGCUUACGUUUUAUUUUUCUAUGGCUGAGAUAUAUUUAAAUAGAGAGAAGAGUACAGAGUAUUACAGUUUUAAGAAGAGUAUUACAGAGUUUCGCUUUAGUUUGCGCUCCGAGGAGAAUAGCACAUGAGAAGUGACCGUUUUAAAACAGUUGAAAAAAGCAAUAAGCAGGUUUUGGUGUUUCACUUUGAUGUAUAAACUGUAAAGUUCAUGAUGUAUAUACUGUACACCAUACAAUGUGCAGAGCGGAGACGCAGAAGAGGUUAUGUAUCAGAGUCAAUAUGCAAAUGUUCAUAUUUCAUCUGUUUUAUAUCAUGUGAAAUAAAUGUUGAUGUUCUUAUA